rnacentral:rRNA from 1 species
CACGUAGGGACCAAGCGUUGUCCGGAAUUAUUGGGCGUAAAGAGCGUGUAGGCGGUCCGGUAAGUCGGCUGUGAAAGUCCAGGGCUCAACCCUGGGAUGCCGGUCGAUACUGCCGGACUAGAGUUCGGAAGAGGCGAGUGGAAUUCCCGGUGUAGCGGUGAAAUGCGCAGAUAUCGGGAGGAACACCUAUGGCGAAGGCAGCUCGCUGGGACGUUACUGACGCUGAGACGCGAAAGCGUGGGGAGCGAACAGG